UGGGGAAUUUUCCGCAAUGGGGGCAACCCUGACGGAGCAACGCCGCGUGCGGGAGGAAGGCCUUUGGGUUGUAAACCGCUUUUCUCAGGGAAGAAGCUCUGACGGUACCUGAGGAAUCAGCCUCGGCUAACUCCGUGCCAGGAGCCGCGGUAAUACGGAGGAGGCAAGCGUUAUCCGGAAUCAUUGGGCGUAAAGCGUUCGCAGGCGGCGAUCCAAGUCUGCUGUCAAAGCCCGCAGCUCAACUGCGGACAGGCAGUGGAAACUGGUAAGCUAGAGUACGGUAGGGGUUGAGGGAAUUCCCAGUGUAGCGGUGAAAUGCGUAGAUAUUGGGAAGAACACCAGUGGCGAAGGCGCUCAACUGGGCCGUAACUGACACUCAGGGACGAAAGCUAGGGUGGCGAAAGGGAUUAGAUACCCCCGUAGUCC
rnacentral:rRNA from 1 species